rnacentral:tRNA from 1 species
GGCAGUGUUGCCCAGUGGAAAGAGCCCUGGCUCUGGAGGCAGAGGCCCUGGGUUCAAAUCCCAGCUCGGCCA